UUCCUGAAUAUGUGGAUGGUGAGCCACGUGAAUGGAAGACAUGGAGAUAUGGACUGUUAACACCUUGUCAAACAUUUAUUGUCCCUUCCACCUCUAAACUUCUGUGAUAAUAGGUGAACAGGACCCACGUGGUGCAGAAUACUGCGAUACACACUGCGGAAUAAUUCAGGGACUGGGAGUUGGAGAGGGGAGACUGGAGAGAGUAGGAAGUGCUCCAGAACUUCUGGACUAGCUUUCAUGAUGGAAAAAGUGUUCUCUUCAUACUACCAAGAAACAUGAUGAGCUGAGAUUCCAGCCAUAGUUCUUUAGGAUCCACAGCACGACUUGCAGUAAACGGCGCUAGAAGAAAGAGACAUUAUACAAAUGCAAGCUGUUGUCACAACAAUGAUAAGAAAUCAGGAGUCGAAAGAUGUGGAGUAAGGGGGAAUUUCAGAGAAACCACAAAACACAAAAUAGGAAACAGAGACAGGAGAAGAUUGCUAUGACAAAAUUGCAGAAGGUGAAAUCUUUGGCAGCCUCUUAUUUCUCUGGAGAAUAUGAUAUUGUCAGGCUGAGGUGGAAGAAUCACAUGGUCAUACUGUUGAAGAGGUCUUGAAACAUUGGGCUUUCCUCUACAAGCGGAAGGAUAGCACUGGCAGCCAUCCACUGGCCCAGCAAUAUCCUGGAUUGAGACGAUAUCAUUUGCAUUACUUGCUGAAUGAAACAUAGUGAAAAUGACUGCAGAUAACCUCAACUAAGUCCAAGAUAUCAUUUUCAAAUCUGGACCAGCCCUUGCCAUCUAGACUGAACAGAGAUUCCAGUUUCCAGGAGAGUAGAUGGAGUAAUGAUAAAAGCACCUCCCAAAACUUUUGCCUUGGUACUACAGAGUGGCACAUAACUAAACAUUAUCAAGGAAUUUUACAGCCCUAGGCCUUCUAUUACUGUGUAUUACAGUCUGCUGUAAUCAUUCUAAUGGUCUAAGAUGUUGCAAGUAAUUUACUCACGGCCUGAACACCAGAAGUGCCAAAAUUGCCUGGGAGUUUUAUUCUGCAUCCAACCAGUACCAGGAAGGAGGAUGUAUUACUUCUCGUUUCUCUACAAGUGUCAGUGCAAAUCCAGCCAUCAAACAAAACUUAGACCUAAAAGCUUUUAGAUUACAGCGAUUAUUGCAGAUUUUACAUGAGAUAAAAAUGUAAUUGCUC
ensembl:lncRNA LINC01478 long intergenic non-protein coding RNA 1478